rnacentral:lncRNA from 1 species
GGGGACAGCACACGAGCACACACCGUGGGGACAGCACACGAGCACACACCGUGGGGACAGCACACGAGCACACACCGUGGGGACAGCACACGAGCACACACCGUGGGGACAGCACACGAGCACACACCGUGGGGACAGCACACGAGCACACACUGUGGAGACAGCACACGAGCACACACUGUGGAGACAGCACACAAGCACACACUGUGGAGACAGCACAUGAGCACACAUUGCUUCUUUACUGCCAAGUUCAACUGUUCAUCAUCUCACUCAGGUUCUGACUUGGGAUGUCACUGUUUAAUAAAUUACGUGGAGCAGCCUGAAAA